rnacentral:rRNA from 1 species
UACGUAGGAGGCAAGCGUUGUCCGGAAUUACUGGGCGUAAAGCGCGUGUAGGUGGUGGGACAAGUCUGCUGUGAAAGCGCCUGGCUUAACCGGGCGAGGUCGGCGGAAACUGUUCGACUCGAGGACGGUAGAGGGGGGUGGAAUUCCCGGUGUAGUGGUGAAAUGCGUAGAGAUCGGGAGGAACACCUGUGGCGAAGGCGGCCCCCUGGGCCGGCCCUGACGCUGAGGCGCGAAAGCUAGGGGAGCAAACGGG